rnacentral:rRNA from 1 species
ACUCAAAGGAAUAGACGGGGACCCGCACAAGCGGUGGAGCAUGUGGUUUAAUUCGACGCAACGCGAAGAACCUUACCAGGGCUUGACAUCCCCCGCAAUCGGUGGAAACAUCGAGUUCCGGCCUUCGGGCCGGACGGGGAGACAGGUGGUGCAUGGUUGUCGUCAGCUCGUGUCGUGAGAUGUUGGGUUAAGUCCCGCAACGAGCGCAACCCCUACUUUUAGUUGCCACCAGGUAAAGCUGGGAACUCUAGAGGAACUGCCGGUGACAAACCGGAGGAAGGUGGGGAUGACGUCAAAUCAUCAUGCCCUUUAUGUCCUGGGCUACACACGUGCUACAAUGGCUGGUACAGAGGGCAGCGAAGGAGCGAUCUGGAGCAAAUCCCACAAAGCCAGUCUCAGUUCGGAUUGCAGGCUGAAACUCGCCUGCAUGAAGUCGGAAUCGCUAGUAAUCGCGAGUCAGCAUAUCGCGGUGAAUACGUUCCCGGGUCUUGUACACACCGCCCGU